AGCGAACGUUAGCGGCGCGCCUAACACAUGCAAGUCGCACGAGAAAGGGAGCAAUCCCCGGUACAGUGGCGCACGGGUGAGUAACACGUAGAUGACCUUCCCUGGAGUGGUGGAUAACCUGCCGAAAGGCGGGCUAAUACAGCAUGGGACCACAUGGUUUUGACCGAGUGGUGAAAGCGGGCCUCUGUUCACAAGCUCGCGCUCUGGGAUGGGUCUGCGUCCCAUCAGCUAGUUGGUGAGGUAAUGGCUCACCAAGGCAUCGACGGGUAGCUGGUCUGAGAGGAUGACCAGCCACACUGGAACUGAGACACGGUCCAGGCUCCUACGGGAGGCAGCAGUGGGGAAUCUUGCGCAAUGGGCGAAAGCCUGACGCAGCGACGCCGCGUGGGUGAUGAAGGCCUUCGGUUGU
rnacentral:rRNA from 1 species